rnacentral:lncRNA from 1 species
UUUGCGACCACCCUUCACCUGAGUGGAUUCGAUCUUGGAGGUAAGAUGAUUUGAGCUCACAACCUAUAUGUUCAAUGUUAUAUGUUUGCUUGUUAUGUCUCUUGCUGUUUUGUUGGUUUGGUGCCAUGACUUGAAUUUGAAUUUGCUGUUUUGUUGGUUUAGUGCCAUGACUUGAAUUUGAUCUGAGCCUGCACAGAAUUUGUAAUUUUUAUUUGUAAUUUGUACUGGUAUUUGGAAUUUGUAAUUCAGACUUCGAGACCCUGAAGUCCUGCCCUGGACGAAAGUCCGAGGGUUGCUUGAAUUGAACUAUAGGGUAAGCAGACGUGGGGGCCCAGAAAUAGACGUAUUUCUGGAACCCUUGGUUCCACCCUGGACGAAAGUCCAAGGGUUGUUUGUAAUUUUGGUUUGGGACACCAUUUCUUUGCCGAGGUUUGUGUUGUCUAAUGUCUGUCCAUGUUUCAUAUUUGUGUUGUCUGUUUGUUAAGCAUCUCUUUCUGUCCCUACUGCCUGCGCACAUGGCAUGCAUGGGUCAAGGGUCUUUUCUUGAUGCUCUGAGCACGUGGAGCCACCUCAACUGUGAUCGGCAGAUGUGCCCAGAGGACAGACUGCUGCGCUGAGGACACCCAGGAGGUCUGUGAGGCAUGCCAAGUGGGGCUGUUUCUGCCCCAGCUACGGUCCUGCCUACCUCGGGAGUUUCCCUGCUCUGAGGGAACAUGGCUGCAAGGCCACCAUCUGCCUGGCUGCCCAGCCUUCUCUGUGCUCCACACACAUGCACUCGGGAGGAAGAGGCAGAUGGAUCUUUAUGAGUUCAAGGCCAGCCUGGUCACAGAUGGAAUUCCAGGACAGGCUCCAAAGUCACAGAAAAACCCUGCCUCAAAAAGAAGUUAAGCUACUGUUUAAGAAAUAUAAGGUAGCUCUAUGCAGUUUUAAGUUCAGCUGUGCUAAGUUUCAAAUAUUUUACUAAGUUAAAACCAGUUACAGUCAGGCUGAAAAUUAAUUACAGAAAUAAGACCUUACCUAGCCACCUGUAUGCUUCUUGUGUGCUUAAGGCAAGUGACUAAAACAGACAAACAGACCUCUAAUGUUUCAGACAUCUUCAGAAUAUGGCAUUUAAAUUGUUAUCUUUAAAGUUUAUAAUAUCAGACAGACUACCAGAUCCUGACAGUGACCCAAAGUCUCCAAAGAAGAUUAUGAGGUACCUCAGUUCCUACACCUGGACCAGUGAGUGAGAUGCUCAGAUAUGAUACCUGCCGCCUGCCAGGACCUGGCCAAGACUGUGGACAAAGCUGCUGGACACUGGAAAUUGAUUGUACCCCCUUUGCCUAGACAAAACAAGGUCAGUCUUUUCCAUGUCCCUCUUCCACAGAGAGGAAAAAAAACUCUCACGGUAUAGGCCUGGCAAAGAUUGCUGUUCUUUGAGACAGCUGCCUCCAGCGGUAAUGGAGAAACUUGGGUGUGGCUAACUGUAUAUGGACUGGCUUCUAACUGGCUUCUGUCACUUUGUAGUAGAUUCAGAUAAAAUAUACCCUUCUCAGAUCUCUGAAAUAUUACUGGUUGUCAGCUUGACAGCAUCAGGCAGUCAGAUCCACUAUAGACUAGUCAGUAUGUUAGCUGAUAAAAUAGUGACUAUCUACUGUUCAGGCACAAGCUCAAGGUUUUUAAGUUUAUUUUGGUUGUCAUCUAAGUACAAACUUAAAGGGCUUUUCAUCAGGCCAAAGGCACCUCUGUCCAAUCCAUACCUGGCUCUCUGGACAGAAGAAAAAUGUACAUGCUUAUAGCCCAAAUCUGUAGUUUUUGCUAGGACUCAAAGUUAUAAAUAUGUUGCUGCUGUUUAAACAGAUAUCCAAAUAUCUGCUUUUUCUGCACUGUGGGCUUCAGUAAAUAAGUUUUAACCUCUGUUCCUAGUUUAAACAUGUCUUAAACAGAUUUCUGCUUCUGGCAGACAUCUGAGUAUCAGUUGCUGACUACAGGCUGUUCUAAGUAG